GAUGAACGCUGGCGGCGUGCCUAAUACAUGCAAGUCGAGCGAACGGACGAGAAGCUUGCUUCUCUGAUGUUAGCGGCGGACGGGUGAGUAACACGUGGAUAACCUACCUAUAAGCCUGGGAUAACUUCGGGAAACCGGAGCUAAUACCGGAUAAUAUUUUGAACCGCAUGGUUCAAAAGUGAAAGACGGUCUUGCUGUCACUUAUAGAUGGAUCCGCGCUGCAUUAGCUAGUUGGUAAGGUAACGGCUUACCAAGGCAACGAUGCAUAGCCGACCUGAGAGGGUGAUCGGCCACACUGGAACUGAGACACGGUCCAGACUCCUACGGGAGGCAGCAGUAAGGAAUCUUCCGCAAUGGGCGAAAGCCUGACGGAGCAACGCCGCGUGAGUGAUGAAGGUCUUCGGAUCGUAAAACUCUGUUAUUAGGGAAGAACAUAUGUGUAAGUAACUGUGCACAUCUUGACGGUACCUAAUCAGAAAGCCACGGCUAACUACGUG
rnacentral:rRNA from 1 species